rnacentral:lncRNA from 1 species
GAGUGGUGGCUCACGCCUGUAAUCCCAGCACUUUGGGAGGCCAAGGCUGGUGGAUCACCUGAGGUCGGGAGUUCGAGACCAGCCUGGCCAACAUGGAGAAACCCCAUCUCUACUAAAAAUACAAAAUUAGCAGUGUGUGGUGGUGCAUGCCUGUAAUCCCAGCUACUUGGGAGGCUGAGGCAGGAGAAUCCCGUGAACUUGGGGGGCGGAGGUUGCGGGAGCUGAGAUCACACCAUUGCACUCCAGCCUGGGCAACAAGAGCGA